rnacentral:rRNA from 1 species
AGAGUUUGAUCCUGGCUCAGAUUGAACGCUGGCGGUAUGCUUAACACAUGCAAGUCGAACGGAAACGAUACUAGCUUGCUAGUAGGCGUCGAGUGGCGGACGGGUGAGUAACGCGUAGGAAUCUGCCUGAUAGUGGGGGAUAGCCCGAAGAAAUUCGGAUUAAUACCGCAUAAUCUAUUCGUAGUAAAGUGGGGGACUUUCGAGCCUCACGCUAUCAGAUGAGCCUGCGUAAGAUUAGCUAGUUGGUAGGGUAAAAGCCUACCAAGGCUACGAUCUUUAGCUGGUCUGAGAGGAUGAUCAGCCACAUCGGGACUGAGACACGGCCCGAACUCCUACGGGAGGCAGCAGUGGGGAAUAUUGGACAAUGGGGGCAACCCUGAUCCAGCAAUACCGCGUGUGUGAAGAAGGCCUGAGGGUUGUAAAGCACUUUCAAUUGUGAAGAAAAGUUAACGGUUAAUAACCGUUAGCCUUGACGUUAACUUUAGAAGAAGCACCGGCUAACUCCGUGCCAGCAGCCGCGGUAAUACGGAGGGUGCAAGCGUUAAUCGGAAUUACUGGGCGUAAAGCGUGCGUAGGCGGUUUAUUAAGUCAGAUGUGAAAGCCCCGGGCUUAACCUGGGAACUGCAUUUGAAACUGGUCAACUAGAGUAUGGUAGAGGAAAGUGGAAUUUCUGGUGUAGCGGUGAAAUGCGUAGAUAUCAGAAGGAACAUCAAUGGCGAAGGCAGCUUUCUGGACCAAUACUGACGCUGAGGUACGAAAGCGUGGGUAGCAAACAGGAUUAGAUACCCUGGUAGUGCACGCCGUAAACGAUGAUAACUAGCCGUUGGGGGGAUUUACCCUUUAGUGGCGAAGCUAACGCGUUAAGUUAUCCGCCUGGGGAGUACGGCCGCAAGGCUAAAACUCAAAGGAAUUGACGGGGACCCGCACAAGCGGUGGAGCAUGUGGUUUAAUUCGAUGCAACGCGAAGAACCUUACCUGGUCUUGACAUCCUGCGAACUUUCUAGAAAUAGAUUGGUGCCUUCGGGAACGCAGUGACAGGUGCUGCAUGGCUGUCGUCAGCUCGUGUCGUGAGAUGUUGGGUUAAGUCCCGUAACGAGCGCAACCCCUAUCCUUAUUUGCCAGCACGUCAUGGUGGGAACUAUAAGGAGACUGCCGGUGAUAAACCGGAGGAAGGCGGGGACGACGUCAAGUCAUCAUGGCCCUUACGACCAGGGCUACACACGUGCUACAAUGGGAAGGACAAAGAGCCGCGAAGCCGCGAGGUGUAGCUAAUCUCAGAAACCUUUUCGUAGUCCGGAUUGGAGUCUGCAACUCGACUCCAUGAAGUCGGAAUCGCUAGUAAUCGUAGAUCAGAAUGCUACGGUGAAUACGUUCCCGGGUCUUGUACACACCGCCCGUCAUACCAUGGGAGUGGGUUGCACCAGAAGUGGCUAGUCUAACUUAGUGAGGACGGUCACCACGGUGUGAUUCAUGACUGGGGUAAAGUCGUAACAAGGUAACC